rnacentral:rRNA from 1 species
GACGAACCGUACGAACGUUAUUCGGAUUUACUGGGCUUAAAGGGUGCGUAGGCGGCGCGGCAAGUUGGGUGUGAAAUCCCUCGGCUUAACCGAGGAACUGCGCCCAAAACUACCGUGCUCGAGGGAGACAGAGGUGAGCGGAACUUAGGGUGGAGCGGUGAAAUGCGUUGAUAUCCUAAGGAACACCAGUGGCGAAAGCGGCUCACUGGGUCUCUUCUGACGCUGAUGCACGAAAGCUAGGGUAGCGAACGGG